AUUUUGAUAGUAGGAAUAAAGGCGUAGACUAUUAUCUAAAUGGGGAGAGAAUCCAGAAAUCUGAGGUGCAAAGGGACUUGGGAGUGCUGGUGCAGGAUUCCCAUAAAGUUAAUCAUAAAGUCAAAUUGGUAGUAAGGAAUGUGAAUGAA